CGAGCAAGCUUAAGGCGAUAGCUGUAGGCGAAGCGAAAGCGAGUCUGAACAGGGCGUUCAGUUCGUCGGACUAGACCCGAAACCAGUCGAUCUAUCCAUGGCCAGGUUGAAAGCAGGGUAACACCUGCUGGAGGACCGAACCGGUGCCUGUUGAAAAAGUCUCGGAUGAGCUGUGGAUAGGGGUGAAAGGCCAAUCAAGGCUGGAAAUAGCUGGUUCUCCGCGAAAUCUAUUUAGGUAGAGCCUCGAGUGAAUACCCCAGGGGGUAGAGCACUGGAUGGGCUAGGGGCCCCCACAGGGUUACCAAACCUAACCAAAACUCCGAAUACCUGGGAGUACUGCUCGGGAGACACACGGCGGGUGCUAACGUCCGUCGUGAAAAGGGAAAAAACCCUGACCGACAGCUAAGGUCCUCAAGUCACGGCUAAGUGUGAAAGGAUGUGGAAAUCCCAUAACAACCAGGAGGUUGGCUUAGAAGCAGCCAUCCUUUAAAGAAAGCGUAACAGCUCACUGGUCUAAUUAAGGGUUUCUGCGCCGAAAAUGUAACGGGGUU
rnacentral:rRNA from 1 species